UACCAGCACCCCGAGUGGUCGGGACGUUUAUUGGGCCUAAAGCAUCCGUAGCCGGUUCUACAAGUCUUCCGUUAAAUCCAAAUGCUUAACAGGUGGGCUGCGGAAGAUACUAUAGAGCUAGGAGGCGGGAGAGGCAAGCGGUACUCGAUGGGUAGGGGUAAAAUCCGUUGAUCCAUUGAAGACCACCAGUGGCGAAGGCGGCUUGCCAGAACGCGCUCGACGGUGAGGGAUGAAAGCUGGGGGAGCAAACCGG
rnacentral:rRNA from 1 species